rnacentral:rRNA from 1 species
ACAACAUUCGGAAACGGAUGCUAAUACCCCAUAGGUGGAUUGGUCGCAUGACGAAUUCAUUAAAGGUGGCUUUGCUACCACUCAUGGAUAGCCUCGCGGCGUAUUAGCUAGUUGGUAAGGUAAUGGCUUACCAAGGCAGUGAUACGUAGCCGACUUGAGAGGGUGAUCGGCCACACUGGGACUGAGACACGGCCCAG